ACUCAAAUGAAUAGACGGGGGCCCGCACAAGCGGUGGAGCGUGUGGUUUAAUUCGAUGCUAAACGAAAAACCUUACCAGGGCUUGACAUGUUGGUAGUAGGAACCCGAAAGGGUAACGAUCCCGGGGUAACUCGGGAAGCCUUCACAGGUGCUGCAUGGCUGUCGUCAGCUCGUGCCGUGAGGUGUUGGGUUAAGUCCCGCAACGAGCGCAACCCUCGUCGCUAGUUAAUUUCUCUAGCGAGACAGCCUCCCACAAGGAGGAGGAAGGUGGGGAUGACGUCAAGUCAUCAUGGCCUUUAUGCCCUGGGCUACACACACGCUACAAUGGCCGGUACAAUGGGUCGCUAAAGCGCAAGCUGGAGCCAAUCCCAGCAAAGCCGGCCUCAGUUGGGAUUGCAGGCUGCAACCUGCCUGCAUGAACGCGGAAUCGCUAGUAACCGCAGGUCAGCAUACUGCGGUGAAUACGUUCCCGGGCCUUGUACACACCGCCCGU
rnacentral:rRNA from 1 species